rnacentral:snoRNA from 1 species
UUUCUCCAGAUUCCUUGCCCAUCAGACCUAACCACUGGUCUGAGAGGAUCUCAAAGGAGGAAAAGCAAUAGUGAAACCACCUGAAUUCUGUGGUGAGACACAAGCUAGUUUUUCACAUGC